rnacentral:misc_RNA from 1 species
GAUGAAGAACGUAGCGAAAUGCGAUAAGUAAUGCGAAUUGCAGAAUUCAGUGAAUCAUCGAAUCUUUGAACGCACAUUGCGCCCCCUGGUAUUCCGGGGGGCAUGCCUGUCCGAGCGUCAUUGCUGCCCUCAAGCACGGCUUGUGUGUUGGGCCCCGUCCUCCGAUCCCGGGGGACGGGCCCGAAAGGCAGCGGCGGCACCGCGUCCGGUCCUCGAGCGUAUGGGGCUUUGUCACCCGCUCUGUAGGCCCGGCCGGCGCUUGCCGAUCAACCCAAAUUUUUUAUCCAGGUUGACCUCGGAUCAGGUAGGGAUACCCGCUGAACUUAAGCAUAUCAAUAAGCGGAGGA